rnacentral:rRNA from 1 species
AAGACAUGAAGUUAGGUCAGCAAACCCGCUGAAUUUAAGCAUAUAAGUAAGCGGAGGAAAAGAAACUAAAUAGGAUUCCCUCAGUAAUGGCGAAUGAACAGGGAUGAGCUCAGUAUGGAAAUCGGGGCCUGUGGCCUUGAAUUGUAAUCUGGAGAUGUACCACCAACUGGGGCGCAGAUGUAAGCCUCUUGGAAAAGAGCAUCAAUGAGGGUGAGAGUCCCGCUUGGCAUCUGCAGUCCCCAGUGCACGGUGUACCUUCUAAGAGUCACGUUCCUCGGGAUUGGAGCGCAAAGCGGGUGGUAAGUUUCAUCUAAAGCUAAAUAUUGUUUCGAGACCGAUAGCAAACAAGUACCAUGAGGGAAAGGUGAAAAGGACUUUGAAAAGAGAGUUAAAAGUGCCUGAAUUUGCUGAAAUGGAAGCGAAUGGAACCAGCGAAACUUGGUGAGAUUGCUGCGUGUCAAUUCGACUGCUUGCUGCUGCAAUGCAAGUGUGGUAGCAGGUUUUGAACAGGACAUAUGCGGUGCUUCUUGCCUCGUGUGUCACCGUCAAUUUGCAGCUGGGGAAAACUUCAGGGACAUGGUAGCUCGUCUCCGGGUGGGUGAACGUGUUUGCUGGAACUGAUUUGCGGAUUGUUUGGUGACUAAAUGGUCCCAUUKGACCCGUCUUGAAACAC